GCCUUAGUACGGCGAGUGAAGCGGCAACAGCUCAAAUUUGAAAGCUGGCCCUUUUAGGGUCCGCGUUGUAAUUUGUAGAGGAUGAUUCGGCGAGGGCUCCUGCCUAAGUCCCCUGGAACGGGGCGUCAUAGAGGGUGAGAAUCCCGUAUGCGGUAGGUUGCCUUAGCCAUGUGAAUCUCCUUCGACGAGUCGAGUUGUUUGGGAAUGCAGCUCUAAAUGGGAGGUAAAUUUCUUCUAAAGCUAAAUACUGGCCAGAGACCGAUAGCGCACAAGUAGAGUGAUCGAAAGAUGAAAAGCACUUUGGAAAGAGAGUUAAAAAGUACGUGAAAUUGUUGAAAGGGAAGCGCUUGCAACCAGACUUGUCCGCAGUUGCUCAGCCGGUCUCCUGACCGGCGUACUCUUCUGCGGCCAGGCCAGCAUCAGUUCGGGCGGUCGGAUAAAGGCCUCGGGAAUGUAGCUCCUCUCGGGGAGUGUUAUAGCCCGGGGUGGAAUGCGACCAGCCUGGACUGAGGAUCUCGCUUCGGCAAGGAUGCUGGCGUAAUGGUUGUAAACGGCCCGUCUUG
rnacentral:rRNA from 1 species